rnacentral:rRNA from 1 species
AAAUGAAUUGACGGGACCCCGCACAAGCGGUGGAUUAUGUUUGUUUAAUUUCGACGCAACGCGAAGAACCUUACCAGGCCUUGACAUACUCAGCAAAGCCCUAGAGAUAGGGUGGAGGUUUAUCUGGGAUACAGGUGGUGCAUGGUUGUCGUCAGCUCGUGUCGUGAGAUGUUGGGUUAAGUCCCGCAACGAGCGCAACCCUUGUCUUUAGUUACCAUCAUUCAGUUGGGGACUCUAGAGAGACUGCCGGUGAUAAACCGGAGGAAGGUGGGGAUGACGUCAAAUCAUCAUGCCCCUUAUGGCCUGGGCUACAAACGUAAUACAAUGGCGUAUACAAAGGGAUGCGAAAGGGCGACCUGGAGCAAAACUCAUAAAGUACGUCUCAGUUCAGAUUGGAGUCUGCAACUCGACUCCAUGAAGGCGGAAUCGCUAGUAAUCGCGGAUCAGCACGCCGCGGUGAAUACGUUCUCGGGGUUU